rnacentral:rRNA from 1 species
UGGGGAAUAUUGCACAAUGGGCGCAAGCCUGAUGCAGCCAUGCCGCGUGUAUGAAGAAGGCCUUCGGGUUGUAAAGUACUUUCAGCGGGGAGGAAGGGAGUAAAGUUAAUACCUUUGCUCAUUGACGUUACCCGCAGAAGAAGCACCGGCUAACUCCGUGCCAGCAGCCGCGGUAAUACGGAGGGGGCAAGCGUUAAUCGGAAUUACUGGGCGUAAAGCGCACGCAGGCGGUUUGUUAAGUCAGAUGUGAAAUCCCCGGGCUCAACCUGGGAACUGCAUCUGAUACUGGCAAGCUUGAGUCUCGUAGAGGGGGGUAGAAUUCCAGGUGUAGCGGUGAAAUGCGUAGAGAUCUGGAGGAAUACCGGUGGCGAAGGCGGCCCCCUGGACAAAGACUGACGCUCAGGUGCGAAAGCGUGGGGAGCAAACA